rnacentral:misc_RNA from 1 species
GUUGGUGAACCAGCGGAGGGAUCAUUACGAGAGUUGCAAAACUCCCUAAAACCCACUGUAAACAUACCUAUUUUGGCUACUUCGGCAGGCGGCCCCAGGGCGGGGCCAUGGCCUUUUUAGGCGCCUGCCAAAGGCCUAUAAAACUCUUACUGUUACUGUAUUCUGAGCAUAAAAACAAAUAAGUUAAAAUUUUCAAUUGUGGAUCUCUUGGUUCUG